rnacentral:rRNA from 1 species
AUGACGGUGCUAGCUUGGAACUGUCGGGGCCUCGGGCAACCUCGAACAAUUCAAGAAUUAGUGUGCCUCGUGCACACGUAUAAGCCCAAGCUCGUCUUCCUCUCGAAACGCCAGAAUAACAAGUACGUGAAGAACCUCAAGUGGAGGCUCGGUCUCCGUCACUGUGUCAUGCAACCCGGCCUAGGAAAAGGUGUCGGCAUUGCCCUCUAUUAUGAUGAAAGU